AAAGACAAAUCCCAAACCCUCGUCCGGCGCAGAGGCCGCGGCGCACGAGCUCAGAAGAUGCCGAAGGUCGGCAGGCGGCGCACGAGGGGGAAUCCGGAGAAGGAGAGGGAGGCCAAGAAGAGAAGCCUGCCAGAGGUGGCCUCUCCCGGCGCACCGCAUGGCCGGGCUUCAGCCAUGUUUGCCGCCUUUGAGGGGGGCGAUGCCCCUCAAACCGAAG
rnacentral:lncRNA from 1 species